AAAUGGGAUGGUUACAACUGCUUUGGGAUCUCAAUAUACUCUUCAAUAUGAUGCAAAAUGUGAUGCUUUUGGAGCCCUAUGGAGGAUAUUAGGAGUUAAUGGCUCAGCACAGAGGGGUUAUGGCUAAGCUCUUUUGCUCCUGAGAAAGCACGGGUGUUCAAUGUUGCUGCUGUCAGGGUGCUCAUACGUGCUUUGCUGCUAUUCACUCCAAAGGUUCAGCUAAAAUGGUGUACCUUAUUGAAAAGCUUGCUUAUUCCAAUUGCUUCAAUCAGGAAAAUCUAACAUCAAUAGGUUGUGUACAAAUUCAUUUGGAGAUUGUAUAGCCCAUGCUGUCAAGUUUUUCUCCUUUGGUUUCUCAUGCUUUGAAGGUUGUAGAAGUUCUUGGUGCCUACAGGUUAUCAGUAUCAUAGCUUAGAAUUCUUGUUCGAUACAUAUUCCAAAUGAGGCAUUUUAGUUCUGGUCGGUACCUUAUCCAGAUGAUUGAAAGAUUGAUUCUUUCAGAGGAUAUGGGAUCCGAAGAUGUAUCUCUUGCCCCAUUUUUGGAGUUGGACAUGAGCAGGAUAUGCCUUGCUUGCAUUCAAGUGCCACUAGGGGAAUGAUCUUGGCCCCCUGCUGCUGGUUAUUCUUUUGUAUGUUGGUUUCAGUUAAAAAACUCAAAAUCUUCAUCAAGGGAGAGCGAAGCUCCUAAAGCUACUCUUAGAAGACAAAGUGUCAAAAAUGGACAACAAUUUGGAGGCCAGGUUUUACGGAUAUUCUCUGUUGGGGUAAUGGAUAAUGGAAGCUCGUUUUAUGCAGAGCUUCGACCAGAUGAUUAUGGGCUUUUAACUCUUGCAACAAGCUUUUCAAUAUUUUUG